rnacentral:tRNA from 1 species
CAUCGUCUGCGCAGGUUCCCAGUCCGACCGCCUGGCACGUGGUUCCGGCGCCAGUGCCCAGCCGAGCGUGGUGCCGUUCUUCGGACAAUAU